GUCAGAAAGCUGGACUAAGUCAAAAUACACACAUUUCACAUUCUGUUUGCAUUAUUUCCACAAUAUCCAUCCUUUGUUGGACGCGUCUAGAAUUACGUACACAAAAUGAUGGUGUUAGUGUACCGAUGCACACAAAUGAUCGAAAAUGAAAGUUAUAUAUGCAUGGUGAGUUGGUGACAGGAUGAAUGGGUGAACACUUCCAAUGGCCAGCUUUAUAUGUGUUGCGCAUCAUUACGCGUAAGUGGUGAAUCUAAUUAAUUUUUUAUGAGGUUGGGAUUUUUGGUUUAAAAUUACCAUAUUAAUUUUAAUUUUGUAUGCGAAGAAAUCACAAUAAUUUUUAUUAUGUAAAAUGUAAAUAAUGCAACAAUAACUAUUGAGUAUUUUAAUUCUUGAUUGUUUGCGUGAAAGGAGGGGUUGUUAAGGAAGUGUGUGGAGCAACUUUUACUUGUUGUUUUGCAGGUUGGUGUAACUGACAUGUGGAUUUGAAAGCUUCAUUCUUUCUAAAGGUACACGGUCAAAAGUGCUUAUACUUGACUUGAUCGGAUGUGGCAAUUGAUGACCGUUGCAAUCAUGUUUUAUGGCUUAAGCAAAUUCUGUGUAAGGUUCUUGAUGCUCUUUUAUGUGAAUAUGACAAAUCAGUUCAAGUUUCCCGGCCAAUCGUCACUUACUGGAUGAGAGCAUAUUCUAACAUAUUAAAUUCAUUGGACUCUACCAAUCAAGAAUUCAUGAGCUGGAGAAGAAAAUAUGAACAAGUUUCAUCAAGGCAGAAAACUAAAGAAGGCACUGCUAGUUCUGAAAUAGCUGUGGCAGUGUUGCUGAAACAAGGUUGGCUGCAGCAAGAGAGCGAUCUCAGUCUGCACAAGAUGAGUCGAAGCGGAAGUAUGGCAUUGUUGUUAGAGAAGGUCAGAUUCAUGACUGUUGAGAUAAUUCAAGAAAACUUUUUUUGAAUACUCUUCUAUACCCCCACUCCCACACCUAUGUCACAGUAAAGACAAGAUUUAUGAUAUGCAUAUUUGUAAUUAAUUGUUCUGCAAUUCUUCUAUUGGACAUUAUUAUUAA